rnacentral:rRNA from 1 species
GUUGUAUGGUUAAGUGACUAAGCGUACACGGUGGAUGCCUUGGCAGUCAGAGGCGAUGAAAGACGUAGUAACUUGCGAUAAGCCCAGAUUAGGUAGUAACAACCAUUUGAGUCUGGGAUUUCUGAAUGGGGAAACCCACUUGCAUAAGCACGUAUCCUUACCUGAAUACAUAGGGUAAGGAGGCGAACCGGGGGAACUGAAACAUCUAAGUACCCCGAGGAAAAGAAAUCAACCGAGAUUCCGAAAGUAGCGGCGAGCGAAAUUGGACUAGCCCUUAAGCUUUACACGCGUUAGACGAACGGUCUGGAAAGUCCGACGAUACAGGGUGAUAGUCCCGUAGUUGACGACGUGUGUUCAGUGAAAUCGAGUAGGGCGGGACACGUGAUAUCCUGUCUGAAUAUGGGGGGACCAUCCUCCAAGGCUAAAUACUACUGACUGACCGAUAGUGAACCAGUACCGUGAGGGAAAGGCGAAAAGAACCCCUGUGAGGGGAGUGAAAUAGAACCUGAAACCGUGUACGUACAAGCAGUAGGAGCAGGCUUGUCCUGUGACUGCGUACCUUUUGUAUAAUGGGUCAGCGACUUAUAUUCAGUGGCAAGGUUAACCAUCUAGGGGAGCCGUAGGGAAACCGAGUCUUAACUGGGCGUUCAGUCUCUGGAUAUAGACCCGAAACCAGGUGAUCUAGCCAUGGGCAGGUUGAAGGUUGAGUAACAUCAACUGGAGGACCGAACCGACUAAUGUUGAAAAAUUAGCGGAUGACUUGUGGCUAGGGGUGAAAGGCCAAUCAAACCUGGAGAUAGCUGGUUCUCCCCGAAAGCUAUUUAGGUAGCGCCUCGGACGAAUACUACUGGGGGUAGAGCACUGUUAAGGCUAGGGGGUCAUCCCGACUUACCAACCCUUUGCAAACUCCGAAUACCAGUAAGUACUAUCCGGGAGACACACGGCGGGUGCUAACGUCCGUCGUGGAGAGGGAAACAACCCAGACCGCCAGCUAAGGUCCCAAAUUACUACUAAGUGGGAAACGAUGUGGGAAGGCUCAGACAGCCAGGAUGUUGGCUUAGAAGCAGCCAUCAUUUAAAGAAAGCGUAAUAGCUCACUGGUCGAGUCGGCCUGCGCGGAAGAUGUAACGGGGCUAAGUAGUAAACCGAAGCUGCGGCAAUGUGCUUUUGCACAUUGGGUAGGGGAGCGUUCUGUAAGCGGUUGAAGGUGUGUGGUAACGCAUGCUGGACGUAUCAGAAGUGCGAAUGCUGACAUGAGUAACGAUAAAGGGGGUGAAAAACCUCCUCGCCGGAAGACCAAGGGUUCCUGUCCAACGUUAAUCGGGGCAGGGUAAGUCGACCCCUAAGGCGAGGCCGAAAGGCGUAGUCGAUGGGAAACGGGUUAAUAUUCCCGUACUUCUUACAAUUGCGAUGGGGGGACGGAGAAGGCUAGGUGGGCCUGGCGACGGUUGUCCAGGUUCAAGUGCGUAGGCUUAAGAGUUAGGUAAAUCCGGCUCUUUUUAAGGCUGAGACACGACGUCGAGCUACUACGGUAGUGAAGUCAUUGAUGCCAUGCUUCCAGGAAAAGCCUCUAAGCUUCAGAUUGUAAGGAAUCGUACCCCAAACCGACACAGGUGGUCGGGUAGAGAAUACCAAGGCGCUUGAGAGAACUCGGGUGAAGGAACUAGGCAAAAUGGUACCGUAACUUCGGGAGAAGGUACGCUCUCGACGGUGAAGUCCCUCGCGGAUGGAGCUGACGAGAGUCGCAGAUACCAGGUGGCUGCAACUGUUUAUUAAAAACACAGCACUGUGCAAAAUCGUAAGAUGACGUAUACGGUGUGACGCCUGCCCGGUGCCGGAAGGUUAAUUGAUGGGGUUAGACUUCGGUCGAAGCUCUUGAUCGAAGCCCCGGUAAACGGCGGCCGUAACUAUAACGGUCCUAAGGUAGCGAAAUUCCUUGUCGGGUAAGUUCCGACCUGCACGAAUGGCGUAAUGAUGGCCACGCUGUCUCCACCCGAGACUCAGUGAAAUUGAAAUCGCUGUGAAGAUGCAGUGUACCCGCGGCUAGACGGAAAGACCCCGUGAACCUUUACUACAGCUUGGCACUGAACAUUGACCCUACAUGUGUAGGAUAGGUGGGAGGCUUUGAAGCACGUACGCCAGUAUGUGUGGAGCCGUCCUUGAAAUACCACCCUUGUAGUGUUGAUGUUCUAACGUCGACCCCUUAUCGGGGUUGCGGACAGUGCCUGGUGGGUAGUUUGACUGGGGCGGUCUCCUCCCAAAGAGUAACGGAGGAGCACGAAGGUGGGCUAAUCACGGUUGGACAUCGUGAGGUUAGUGCAAUGGCAUAAGCCCGCUUGACUGCGAGAAUGACAAUUCGAGCAGGUGCGAAAGCAGGUCAUAGUGAUCCGGUGGUUCUGAAUGGAAGGGCCAUCGCUCAACGGAUAAAAGGUACUCCGGGGAUAACAGGCUGAUACCGCCCAAGAGUUCAUAUCGACGGCGGUGUUUGGCACCUCGAUGUCGGCUCAUCACAUCCUGGGGCUGAAGUCGGUCCCAAGGGUAUGGCUGUUCGCCAUUUAAAGUGGUACGCGAGCUGGGUUUAGAACGUCGUGAGACAGUUCGGUCCCUAUCUGCCGUGGGCGUUGGAAGAUUGAAGGGGGCUGCUCCUAGUACGAGAGGACCGGAGUGGACGAACCUCUGGUGUUCGGGUUGUGUCGCCAGACGCAUUGCCCGGUAGCUAAGUUCGGAAUCGAUAACCGCUGAAAGCAUCUAAGCGGGAAGCGAGCCCUGAGAUGAGUCUUCCCUGAUACUUUAAGUAUCCUAAAGGGUUGUCGGAGACUACGACGUUGAUAGGUCAGGUGUGUAAGUGCUGUGAGGCAUUGAGCUAACUGAUACUAAUUGCCCGUGAGGCUUAACCAUACAACACCCAAGGGGUUU